CAGCAGCCGCGGUAAUACCAGCGCCACGAGUGGUAACCGCGUUUAUUGGGCCUAAAGCGUCCGUAGCCGGUCUUGUAAAUCCUUUGUGAAAUUGCUCGGCUUAACCGAACAGCGUGCAAGGGACACUGCAAGACUCGAGACCGGGAGGAGUCAGAAGUAUUCCAGGGGGAGCGGUAAAAUGUUAUAAUCCCUGGAGGACUACCUGUGGCGAAGGCGUCUGACCAGAACGGAUCUGACGGUGAGGGACGAAAGCCAGGGGAGCGAACCGGAUUAGAUACCCGAGUAGUCCUGGCCGUAAACGCUGUGAGCUAGGUGUUGCGCUAACUACAUGUUGGCGCAGUGUCGAAAGGAAGCUGUUAAGCUCACCGCCUGGGAAGUACGGUCGCAAGACUGAAACUUUAAGGAAUUGGCGGGGGAGCACCACAAGGGGUGCGGCGUGCGGUUUAAUCUAACUCAACGCAGAGAACCUUACUAGAAGCGACGGCAGGAUGAAAGUCAACUUGAAGAGUUUACUUGACGAGCCGAGAGGUGGUGCAUGGCCGUCGUCAGCUCGUGCUGUGAAGUGUYCAGCUAAGCCUGGCAACGAGCGAGACCUGUAUCCGCAAUUGCUA
rnacentral:rRNA from 1 species